rnacentral:rRNA from 1 species
UGGGGAAUAUUGCGCAAUGGGGGCAACCCUGACGCAGCCAUGCCGCGUGUGUGAAGAAGGCCUUCGGGUUGUAAAGCACUUUAAGUGGGGAAGAAAAGUUGGUCGUUAAUAGCGGCCAGCCCUGACAUUACCCACAGAAUAAGCACCGGCUAACUCCGUGCCAGCAGCCGCGGUAAUACGGAGGGUGCGAGCGUUAAUCGGAAUUACUGGGCGUAAAGCGCGCGUAGGCGGUUUGUUAAGUCAGCUGUGAAAGCCCCGGGCUCAACCUGGGAACUGCAGUUGAUACUGGCCGACUGGAGUGCGAGAGAGGGAGUAGAAUUCCAUGUGUAGCGGUGAAAUGCGUAGAUAUAUGGAGGAAUACCGGUGGCGAAGGCGGCCUCCUGGCUCGACACUGACGCUGAGGUGCGAAAGCGUGGGGAUCAAACAGGAUUAGAUACCCUGGUAGUCCACGCCGUAAACGAUGUCUACUAGCCGUUGGGAGACUUGAUUUCUUAGUGG